GACGAAGGUGGCGAGCGUUGUUCGGAAUCACUGGGCAUAAAGCGCACGAGGCGGUGUCGUAAGUCGGAUGUGAAAUCCCUCGGCCUAACCGAGGAACUGCGUCCGAUACUGCGAUGCUUGAGGACCAGAGGGGUGCUGGAAUUCCGAUGGAGCGGUGAAAUGCGUUGAUAUCGAGGAGGAAUACCGAUGGCGAAGGCAGGUCUCUGGGC
rnacentral:rRNA from 1 species